UCAGACGAUGCGUCAUGCAUAUCAAUAAGCGGAGGAAAAGAAACUAACAAGGAUUCCCUUAGUAACGGCGAGUGAAGCGGGAAGAGCUCAAAUUUGAAAUCUUGAAAGGUCACCUUUCACGAAUUGUAGUUUAAAGAAGUGUUUUCUGUUACGAUCGUAAUAUAAGUUCUUUGGAAUAGGACAUCACAGAGGGUGAGAAUCCCGUCUAUGAUUGCGAUUUGUAGCUUUGUGAUACACUUUCAAAGAGUCGGGUUGUUUGGGAAUGCAGCCCAAAACGGGAGGUAAAUUUCUUCUAAGGCUAAAUAUUGGCGAGAGACCGAUAGCGAACAAGUACCGUGAGGGAAAGAUGAAAAGAACUUUGAAAAGAGAGUUAAAUAGUACGUGAAAUUGUCAAAAGGGAAGCGUUUAACACCAGUGUUGUUUUCUGAAAAUCAACCUCUGUUAGCUUUAUGCAUGUUUGUUUAGACCUAAUCAGCUAUCUUGCAUGUUCUAUUGUUUGCAGUGGUGCACUUUUCAGUUUACAGGUCAACAUCAGUUUUUUUUACCGUAAAAAAGUUAAAGAAAGGUAGCUCAUGGCUCCGGUCGUGAGUGUUAUAGUCUUUUUCCUAUGCGGUAGGAGAGACUGAGGUCUGCAGUGUAGGCUAUUUGGCUAGAUACUCAGGUGCUAUGUGAUACCAUUUCAUAAACAACUUGUUGAUUAUGUUUUGUCUAUUGCAUACUCGCUUGUACUAUCAUACCUACGCUUAGGAUGUUGAUCUGUAGUGCGUGCGC
rnacentral:rRNA from 1 species